AAAUAGCAGGGGUUAUUGUUAUGUCGAUGUCGAACCCAAAAAUGUAAUUAUCUUUAUUUUUGUCUGUUUGUCUGUUUGUCUGUUUGUCUGUUCGUCUGUGCGCGCUAAUCUCAGAAAAGGCUGAUCCGAGUUGGAUGCGGUUUUCACGAAUAUAUUGUGGGAUGCUUAAAUUUACAUUUAGUGUUUGUUUCAUGUCAAUCGGUUCAUAAAUAAAAAAGUUAUGUCAAAUUAAAGAAUCACGUCGAACAUUCUAUGCUUAUACCAUUAAUCUCCGCAACUAUUUGACGGAUUUGGUUGAAAUUUGGUACAGAUAUAGUUUAGAACCUUAGAAAGGACAUAGAUAUAUUUUUAUUUCAAAAAUAAAAAAAUAAAAAUAAGAAAUAAAUUAUUUAUAAAUAAUUCUAUGUCGAUCGUUACACGACUUCGGUUCAUGUUAUUGUUUUAAUUCAUCGAAAAAAAGUAAAUAAAUAGUAAAAAGGUAUGAAAAAAAUAAUAUCAAUAUAAUAAAACAUUUAGUACAAAGAAAAUGCUCUAACGGAGUAUAGAUAAUUCUAUGUCGAUCGUUACACGACUUCGGUUCAUGUUAUUGUUUGAAUUCAUCGAAAAAAAGUAAAUAAAUAGUAAAAAGGUAUGAAAAAAAUAAUAUCAAUAUAAUUAAACUUUUAGUACAAAGAAAAUGCCCGAACGGAGUAUAAAUAAAUAAUCCAAGUUGUCUUUAUCCUCGAUAGAUGGCGUUGGGAUCGAAAUAGAUCGCGCUAUGGUUUCGUUACAUUCAUUUGGUUGGGUAUCGGCCGAGCGCUUCGGUACUAUCGUAGAAAAAGUGUAUUAUCAGUCGUAUGAUUAUUUGUCUGUAGUGGUCCUGCUGUUUCGUAUAUUCUAAAUUGGUUUCGUUGUAUUUGCCAAUAGGGAUGAUGACGGGGUAUGAAAAUUAAAAAUGUAAUUAGUCCGUCAGUUAGGUAAUGAAAAAAUAUUAGACACGUAUUUUUUUAUUUUGUCAUAUAAGAUAACAAUACUUAGAUAAAAUGAAUCAAAGUAUAGGAGUGGGAGCUAACUACGUCACUAUAUAGUAUAAAACGUACUCUAAAGUGACGUCACGCGACAUUUCAAAUCGAUAUAUCUUCGAAAGUAUUUGUUUCCGUAAGAAAAUAAAAAAUACAUGUCUAAUAUUUUAAAAUAAUCUACAAGACGGACAUUAAAAUAAAAAUUAGUCAUCUACC